GGUACAUAACUUUCAACAACAGCAAACACAACAGUAACAGCAACUACUGACAGAGAAAUUGGUGGUGCAUUCAGUGUCAUCCAAGCACAGUCACUGUCGUCCAUGAUGAUCACUUUCUCCAUCUCCAGAAUGACGACCGUCUCGAUAUUCUCAUCAUAUCGAGCCACCACUUUCUCGACAUUCUCACCAUGCCGCUCACCAUUUGCGGUAAUCUCCUUCUCCUUCAUGUGUACAUAGCAUU
rnacentral:lncRNA from 1 species